AUAAAUUUGAUUUGAGUUUAGAUAGUAAUUUAGAAAUUAAAUAUUGAAUGUAAAUAGGCAUUUGACAAAUUUUAUAAAUAAUAUAAUUGUUUAUAUAGAGAUUUAUGUUUAAAAUCGCAGCAGUUAAUAUUAUAUAUAAUUGUAAGAUUGAUAUAGUAAUUUUAUUUAAAUAUGGUUAAAUCUGGUGCCAGCAGCCGCGGUCACACCGGAAUAUUAAGUUAGUAAUAAUCUAUUUGUAGUUCAUUUAAAUUAGUUUAAAAUUUAUUAUAUUUUAUAUGAUUAGGAGGUGAAAUUUAUAAUUGGAGUAAAGAAAAAUAAAUUAUUUGGUUAAAAUGAAUCUCUGAAAGAAGACAAUAUAAACUAGGAUUAGAUACCCUAUUAUUCUUUGAUUAAACUUAAAAAAUAUUGGUAGUAUAUUAAGGUUUAAACCUAAGAGAUUUGGCGGUACUCGUUACUUAUUAGAGAAAUUUGCUAUAAGAGAUCGAUAAUCCCCGAAAAAUCUUACUUUUAUAAGUAUCUCAGUUUGUAUACCGUCAUAGAUGUGAUUUCUAAAGAAUAUUAAUUAUUUAUUAGACUUAGUUGAGUGAGACAUUAGAUCAAGGUGCAGCUAAUAUAAAAGGUUAAAGUGAAUUACAUUACAAUUUUGUGAAAUUAUGGAAGAAAAAUUGAAAUAUGUUUCUGAAAGUGGAUUUAAUAGUAAUAAUAUUUUAAUAAGUUAUUUUGAUUUUAGUUCUGGAGUAUGUACAUAUCGCCCGUCGCUCUCGUUUAAAAGAUGAGAUAAGUCGUAACAUAGUAGGUGUACUGGAAAGUGCACCUAGAAUU
rnacentral:ncRNA from 1 species